rnacentral:misc_RNA from 1 species
GAUGAAGAACGCAGCGAAAUGCGAUAAGUAGUGUGAAUUGCAGAAUUCAGUGAAUCAUCGAAUCUUUGAACGCACAUUGCGCCUCCUGGUAUUCCGGGAGGCAUGCCUGUUCGAGCGUCAUUAAAAUCACUCAAGCUUAGGUUUGCCUAUUGCUUGGUCUUGAAGAUGGAAGCUAAGUAAUUAGAAUCCUCUUCGAAAUCCAAUGGCGAAGACCCUUGCUCUCCCAAGUGUAGUAAUAACUUAUUCACUGAAGGAAGCGACUAAUCUUCCGCCGUAACCCCCAUAUUUUCUAUGAUUGACCUCGGAUCAGGUAGGGAUACCCGCUGAACUUAAGCAUAUCAAUAAGCGGAGGA